UCUUCUUGUUGAAACGUAUUC
rnacentral:piRNA from 1 species